rnacentral:lncRNA from 1 species
GCCGGCAAUUGUGAUACUGGUCAAUAGCUUCUUCCCUUUAUUAACUUCCCUUUUAACAUCCUUGACGCGUCUGAAUGAGGUUUUAGCGAACACAGCAAAGGUUGGUCAGACAGAGAUCCUGAUACAAAGCCUCAUGUAUACAAUACUUUUUAUCUUCAACCACUAAAGGCAGAGGAGACUACUGUAGUGGAAUUGUCCGGUUUGACGAACAGGCCGCUAAAUAGAGAGGCUCAACAUCAUCCUGAUGAGGAGCCGUUGGAAGACUCCACCGACUCAGACAUGGAGAUAGAUGGCUUGCCGGGUUCUGUAGAGUGGUUAAUGGAGAAUCUGGAAAUAGAAGACCAUGGAAGUGUCCAUCCUGCCUAGGCCCAGUGCUUUCCCGCGAUUCAGAUCCUGACCUACCACCGGUCCUGCCUGUUCUCUGAACCCUGCCUGUCUGACUCUUCUGCCGGUUCCUGAUCCCUGCCUGUCUGACUCUUCUGCCGGUUCCUGAUCCCUGCCUGUCUGACUCUUCUGCCGGUUCCUGAUCCCCGCCUGUCUGACUAUUCUGCCGGUU